UACGGAGGAUGCGAGCGUUAUCCGGAUUUAUUGGGUUUAAAGGGUGCGUAGGCGGCGAGUUAAGUCAGCGGUAAAAGCCCGGGGCCCAACCCCGGCCCGCCGUUGAAACUGGCUGGCUUGAGUUGGGGAAAGGCAGGCGGAAUGCGCGGUGUAGCGGUGAAAUGCAUAGAUAUCGCGCAGAACCCCGAUUGCGAAGGCAGCCUGCCGGCCCCACACUGACGCUGAGGCACGAAAGCGUGGGUAUCGAACAGG
rnacentral:rRNA from 1 species